GCAGGCUUAACACAUGCAAGUCGAGCGGGCGAGGUUGCUUCGAGUAACUGAGCUAGCGGCGGACGGGUGAGUAAUGCUUAGGAAUCUGCCUAUUAGUGGGGGACAACAUUCCGAAAGGAAUGCUAAUACCGCAUACGCCCUACGGGGGAAAGCAGGGGAUCUUCGGACCUUGCGCUAAUAGAUGAGCCUAAGUCAGAUUAGCUAGUUGGUGGGGUAAAGGCCUACCAAGGCGACGAUCUGUAGCGGGUCUGAGAGGAUGAUCCGCCACACUGGGACUGAGACACGGCCCAGACUCCUACGGGAGGCAGCAGUGGGGAAUAUUGGACAAUGGGCGAAAGCCUGAUCCAGCCAUGCCGCGUGUGUGAAGAAGGCCUUUUGGUUGUAAAGCACUUUAAGCGAGGAGGAGGCUACCGAGAUUAAUACUCUUGGAUAGUGGACGUUACUCGCAGAAUAAGCACCGGCUAACUCUGUGCCAGCAGCCGCGGUAAUACAGAGGGUGCGAGCGUUAAUCGGAUUUACUGGGCGUAAAGCGUGCGUAGGCGGCUUCUUAAGUCGGAUGUGAAAUCCCUGAGCUUAACUUAGGAAUUGCAUUCGAUACUGGGAAGCUAGAGUAUGGGAGAGGAUGGUAGAAUUCCAGGUGUAGCGGUGAAAUGCGUAGAGAUCUGGAGGAAUACCGAUGGCGAAGGCAGCCAUCUGGCCUAAUACUGACG
rnacentral:rRNA from 1 species